GAUUUAGCCCAGGAAUCCGCGAAUGUUCUAUUUUCAGCGGACUUCAACCGUGCCGGCUACAUCCACAGACACCGCGUGUUAGUGAGGAGAGAGCGAGAUGACAACAGUCACUCAGCAUCUCAAGCCCGAGUAUCAUGCACCCCUCAUCUUGAGGCCGAAAUCUUUCCAACGGGACGAAUGAACUAGGGCUUCGUUGACGGUGUUGAAUUUCCAAAAAACUGAUCUAGAAGGCGAAGGAGUACGGAGGUUCCUUUGGUCUAGAAGACUUGCGGCUCGACGCCGAGCAUCCGGUGACAAGGGACAGAAGCCACGAAUAGACCCCGGCCCACGACAUUCCUGGAAAAAAAAAUCUAUGCACAUUCUCAGUUCAUUUAUUUCAAUAAUGAUCGGAUAACAUCAUUGUUAUAGUACCUUCCUUCUUCCAAGAAGCCUUCGUUUCCACCACAAACCCCUAAGACACGACAGUAACUUUGCACCCUGCACGCGACACCUCCUCACGAGAUUACUCUUCCGCGAAACUUGUGUAGAAACUCCGGAUGUUGCUGCCAACGUUUUUUGAUCCUGAACAUUAUUUUUAGAAUACAAUAAUGAUCGAAA